rnacentral:rRNA from 1 species
UUGGGCGUAAGAGCUCGUAGGCGGUUUGUCGCGUCUGCCGUGAAAGUCCGGGGCUCAACUCCGGAUCUGCGGUGGGUACGGGCAGACUAGAGUGAUGUAGGGGAGACUGGAAUUCCUGGUGUAGCGGUGAAAUGCGCAGAUAUCAGGAGGAACACCGAUGGCGAAGGCAGGUCUCUGGGCAUUAACUGACGCUGAGGAGCGAAAGCAUGGGGAGCGAACAGGAUUAGAUACCCUGGUAGUCCAUGCCGUAAACGUUGGGCACUAGGUGUGGGGGACAUUCCACGUUUUCCGCGCCGUAGCUAACGCAUUAAGUGCCCCGCCUGGGGAGUACGGCCGCAAGGCUAAAACUCAAAGGAAUUGACGGGGGCCCGCACAAGCGGCGGAGCAUGCGGAUUAAUUCGAUGCAACGCGAAGAACCUUACCAAGGCUUGACAUGGGCCGGACCGGGCUGGAAACAGUCCUUCCCCUUUGGGGCCGGUUCACAGGUGGUGCAUGGUUGUCGUCAGCUCGUGUCGUGAGAUGUUGGGUUAAGUCCCGCAACGAGCGCAACCCUCGUUCCAUGUUGCCAGCGCGUAAUGGCGGGGACUCAUGGGAGACUGCCGGGGUCAACUCGGAGGAAGGUGGGGACGAC